rnacentral:lncRNA from 1 species
UUCCAGUAAUGGAAUUUACAAUGAUGAGAAAGUGCCUUGGGCAGAGCGGUUUUCUCCCAUUCUCAUCACAGAUAUCCAUGAGGAAUGGUGUGCCAGAGCUGGUUUGUACCAAUUUGCAACAACCAAUUGUUAAUGAUAAUGAAACAAGGGUCGAUGGAGAUAAAUGAUUUCUCUGUGGAAAUUACCAAAGAUUGGUAUCAACGUUUGUUCAAACAAAUUUACACCAGAAGGGUAAGAAGAGCCAUGAACGGGUGAAGGAGAAAGUUGUAUAUAAGUGACAGCAAGAAGAAGGGAUAAGAAUUUCUCAAUGUAAAGGAGGAACCAAGAAGAGGAAUAAUUGAGGAUCACCAUUCAAGAAACUCAGUGCUGCAUUUCCGUAUUGAGAGUUCUAAAGUGAAAUAUUGAUGGAUUUCAUUCUUAGUCAUUGCCUGUGUCACUUGGAGCACCAUACUUGAAAGUCUUGAGUACUGUUUAUUUCACUUUAAAAC